ensembl:antisense Gm10369 predicted gene 10369
AUCAGUGACUUGCUUCCUGUCCACGCCUGGGUCACAGGCGUGUCACGGGGGUCUGCCCAUCACUCCCCAGUGUCAUGCUGCAGGAAGCAGGGCCUCUGCAUGCCUGUUCCUACGGGUGUGGACUCAGGAGCAGCUACAUCCCACCCUGGGUGAGAAAGCUCUUAAGUUCAUCUAGUAGGAAACUCCCUGGCUCCUCCUCCACCCACUCUCUCAUCACUCCUUCAGAGGAGCAGCAGCAGCAGCAGCCGCUGCAGCAGAACAACCUGACCACGACUUGCUUACCAGCUCGGCUCAGCACGUCCCCUACUAGAGAUCAUCUCCAGACAUGUGUCCUGGCUCGGCGGGACACCUGUCACAGCAUUUACGGCCUUCCUUGCUCUGUCAGCCUGGGAUUUCCUCCAGACCAGAGACAAAGGCACUGCAGUGGGACUCAGAGCCUGGAUCAGAGGACUCAGGAAAGAUGCACAGCCAGGGAACCCAGGGAGCAGGUUCCUCCAGUCUUCCCCAGGCCAGCGCUUCUCAACCUCUCUAAUGCUGCGGCCUUUUUAAUAUAGUUCUUCAAGUUGGGCUGACUCCCAACCAUAAAAUUAUUACCGUUGCUACAUCAUAACUGUAAUUUUGCUACUGUUGUGAACUGUAAGUAUUUGGUAUGCAGGAUAUCUGAUAUGUGACUUCCAAAAGGGUUGUGACCCGCAGGUUGAAUACCCUUGCCCUAGACAAACAUCGAUGACACAGCUGGAAGGCUGGGACACAGUAGUACACUGAUAGGGCUUUUGCUGGGCAUUCACAAGGCCCUGGGUUCAAUCCCCAGGAUUCACUGCCCACCUGUCUCCCUCUUUCCCUCCCUCUCAACAAGGUUGGUGAGAAGGCUUAGCAGGGAAAGAUGCCCACAACCAAGCCUAACGACCUGAAUUUGGUUCUGGGGGGGGGGUGGAGGGGGGAGGACCCACAUGGUGGAAGGCCAGAAUAAUAAACUCCCAGUUGUCCUCUACUCUCCAUGCGUACAUAACAAAUGAAUAAAUGUAAACAAAUAAGAAAAGUUUCCCAUCAGUGCCAGGGAAUGAGCAGGCAAGGCAAGCGAGCUAUUAAUGAGUGAUAACCUCAGAUCCCCCCACCCCCCCUCACAAUAAACAUUAGUGCUUGGAGAUUU